GAUGAACGCUGGCGGCGUGCCUAAUACAUGCAAGUCGAGCGAAUGGAUUAAGAGCUUGCUCUUAUGAAGUUAGCGGCGGACGGGUGAGUAACACGUGGGUAACCUGCCCAUAAGACUGGGAUAACUCCGGGAAACCGGGGCUAAUACCGGAUAACAUUUUGAACCGCAUGGUUCGAAAUUGAAAGGCGGCUUCGGCUGUCACUUAUGGAUGGACCCGCGUCGCAUUAGCUAGUUGGUGAGGUAACGGCUCACCAAGGCAACGAUGCGUAGCCGCACUGAGAGGGUGAUCGGCCACACUGGGACUGGGACACGGCCCAGACUCCUACGGGAGGCAGCAGUAGGGAAUCUUCCGCAAUGGACGAAAGUCUGACGGAGCAACGCCGCGUGAGUGAUGAAGGCUUUCGGGUCGUAAAACUCUGUUGUUAGGGAAGAACAAGUGCUAGUUGAAUAAGCUGGCACCUUGACGGUACCUAACCAGAAAGCCACGGCUAACUACGUGCCAGCAGCCGCCGUAA
rnacentral:rRNA from 1 species